rnacentral:rRNA from 1 species
GACGAACGCUGGCGGCGUGCUUAACACAUGCAAGUCGAACGAAGUGGCGAACGGGUGAGUAACGCGUAAUCAACCUGCCCUUCAGAGGGGGACAACAGUUGGAAACGACUGCUAAUACCGCAUAAUGAAGGAGGGGAUUGCGGCGGAUUAGCUGGUUGGAGGGGUAACGGCCCACCAAGGCGAUGAUCAUUAGCCGGGUUGAGAGGAUGAACGGCACCAUUGGGACCGGUACACGGCCCAGACUCCUACGGGAGGCAGCAGUGGGGAAUCUUCCGGAAUGGACGAAAGUCUGACGGAGCAACGCCGCGUGAGUGAUGACGGCCUUCGGGUUGUAAAGCUCUGUUAAUCGGGACGCGGUACCGGAAUAGAAAGCCACGGCUAACUACGUGCCAGCCGCCGCGGUAAUUC